CCCUUAGAUGUUCUGGGCCGCACGCGCGCUACACUGAUGCAUUCAACGAGUCUAAAACCUGCUCUGAUAGGGGUGGGUAAUCUUUUGAAUGUGCAUCGUGAUUGGGAUAGAUGAUUGCAAUUUUUCAUCUUCAACGAGGAAUGCCUAGUAAACGCAAGUCAUCAGCUUGCAUUGAUUACGUCCCUGCCCUUUGUACACACCGCCCGUCGCUCCUACCGAUUGAAUGGUCCGGUGAAGCCUCCGGAUUGGCGCGCACCUCGGUGCCGCCGAGAAGUUGGCUAAACCUUACCAUUUAGAGGAAGGUGAAGUCGUAACA
rnacentral:rRNA from 1 species